ensembl:lncRNA
UUUACUCGCAGAAUAACUGUAUUUGACAAACUGGCGUAGAUUCUCUGGAUAUCCAGCAUCUGUUUGUGUGAAGCUCACACCUGUGAGCACUCCGUAGUGCUGCUGGCUUUGGCAGGCAUUGGUAAGGGAAAUGAGAAGCUGUAGGUGAUACUGGAGUUGAACCUCAGCUGUAACCCAGUGUUUUUUUUCUUAGAAUGGGCUCCAGACAGGGGAACCGUUAACAGCCUGUAAUGCACGGAGCAUCACUUGCAUAGUUAACAAAUUCUUUUUCGAGUGACAAUAAAAUAUUUACUACAAAGCACUUAAGGCAAGCUUUUCGGCUCUUGCAAUUGUGGUUUCAUGCUAAGUGUGUUAGGCUUGGCAUCCGCAUUCAUCCGUGCUCUGUUUGCCCCAAAUCCUUGUAUAGAGACUUCUCGCUCUGUACUUUGGUACAGCCUUUUACUUCUUCCCAUUGUGGGGACGUAGUUGCAGUGAUCUGUGCUAAAAGCAGCUUGCCAGUUGGUGGGAAAGGUACUCGCGUAGAGUUUUUUGUGACAGCAGGUGCUGAUGACAAGGAAAAUCAGGAUGACAGUUGUGUUUUGACAGCUGAAGUCACGCAUUGUCUGAGCCCUUCAUAGCAUGUAUGCAGGCAGCGUGUUGUCUUUGUCAUUGCAGCAAUGUGCUACAGAGCUCACUGCCGAUACGGCUGGUGCACACGCUCUGGUGUUGAGGCGGAAGAGUGCUUUGAAAGAAUGAAAGAAGGCUGGGAACGUCCUAAUUCAACUUGACAAUUGGAGAAAGCAGAGCAGGAGACUGUGCCCCCGGGGGGAAAUACUUUUCUGCAAAUUAGGACACUCCUUUGCAAUUACUUCAGCGCUUCCCCUUCCUGAAGUGUCAAAAUCUUUCUGGAAAUACCUACUUAGUUCUUUUAAACAGAUAGAAAGAAAAAAGAAAGUCAAGGUACUGUCAUUUGCAUGGCUGGUUUUGCGUGCCUCAACAGCCCUUCAUGUGGAACAGCUAAAUGGGUUUCUCUCUGGGCGUGAAGACCAUCAGCAAAUCCCAGAACCUGGUGGUCUAUCUAGCAUCGAGCUCUCUGUGAGCCACGUGGACCUCCUGUCCACAUCUGAAACUGCCUUCCUGCUGCACUGGGAAGUAUGUCAGUGGUCUGGCGCGCCUCUCCUAGGCUGCAUGAGUAUCAUUACCCAAGAUGAGGCCUUACGCUCUGCGUUUUUCAUGUUAAUUGCUUUUCCUUAUGUUGUUGUUGAUUUCCAGCUCUUAGCAUUUUUUUCUAUCACUUCCUAACUCGUUUAAAAAAAAGAAACAACAUACUAUCCAGUUCUAAAAAAAUCUAAUAAGGAGGUGAAUCCUACAUCAGCCCCAGUGCAUUUAGAGUUGUUACAACCCUCGCUUGUAUUAAAUAGUUUGAGGAACUGAGCAGUGCACACUUGUAGGUAGGCUUUUGAUUGACCGAAACCUAAACUGGUGGGAAUAGUUUAGUUAAAGCCUUGGGAUUUAUUACUCAUGUCAUGGGUGGGGAGUUGGUGUGGCUAAUUGGGGAAACUAAGGCCAUGUAAUGACUUUAUGAAGGUUUCCUGGGUGGUCUGAGCAGUCAGGGGAAGCAGUUGUGCUUAGAAUUAGAAGGAUUUUCUGUACUAACGCAUUGUUUUGCUGUGGUUAGGGGCACUGGGAAAGGAGCAGCAAAGCAGUGGAGCAACACCAGAAAAUAUUUGGGAGGAAACAACAUGGCUGAGUGGCUGCAGUCCAGGCCCCAUGCAGGCAUACAGCAGCUGAGGGAAACUGGAAGGCUGCAAUGAGAUUUCCCUGGAACCUUCUCUUCUCCAAGCUAAGCAAGCCCAACUCCUCCAACUUUUCUUCAUAUGAGAGAUGCUCCAGCUCUCUGAUCACCCUCCAGCCCUCCUCUGGAUCUACUCCAACAGGUCCACAUCUUUCUUGUGUUGAGGGCCCCAGAGCUGGAUGCAGUACUCCGAGUGGAGUAGAUUGAAAUCCAGGUUGGUUUGAUCUGGGCUGAUUCCUUGAUUUUUGAGACUAAUGGUGAUGUUGGGGUGGAUAGGAGAUACUCUGACAAGAGGAAUGUGGUUGUCUGUCAAGUGGGGUAUGUCUGCAACACUUUUACACACACACUCAGAAAACAACAGUGUUUUCGUGCCUCCCGUCCUUCCUUUUGUGAGAGUAUGCAGUUGCAAGAGAGAGGCAAUACUCUGGUUAUAUUAAAAAGAAAUCAAAGGGGAUAAUUUUAAAGCUGCUGUUACUGAGAAAAAGCUGACUUCCAAAAUCUUUGUUCCUUCAUUCACAUUUUUUCCUUUUUGUUAGCCAGCCUCAGGAAAUGAGUACAUUCUUUUGGUUUUCCAUGGCUGAGUCAUAUUAUACAUAUAUAUCCACAUAUAAAAAAAUGUGUUGAAACAUCUGGAGAUGUUCACUUCAGAGGUCGUUUUUUUUUUUUGCAUUAUGUUCUUUAAGCUUUAAAUGUUCG